GAUGAACGCUAGCGGCAGGCUUAACACAUGCAAGUCGAGGGGUAGGAGAAGCUUGCUUUUCUGAGACCGGCGCACGGGUGCGUAACGCGUAUGCAAUCUACCUUUCACAGAGGGGUAGCCCAGAGAAAUUUGGAUUAAUACCUCAUAGUAUAAUUGAAUGGCAUCAUUUAAUUAUUAAAGAUUUAUCGGUGAAAGAUGAGCAUGCGUCCCAUUAGCUAGUUGGUAUGGUAACGGCAUACCAAGGCAACGAUGGGUAGGGGUCCUGAGAGGGAGAUCCCCCACACUGGUACUGAGACACGGACCAGACUCCUACGGGAGGCAGCAGUGAGGAAUAUUGGACAAUGGGCGCAAGCCUGAUCCAGCCAUGCCGCGUGCAGGAUGACGGUCCUAUGGAUUGUAAACUGCUUUUAUACAGGAAGAAACACUCCCUCGUGAGGGAGCUUGACGGUACUGUAAGAAUAAGGAUCGGCUAACUCCGUGCCAGCAGCCGCGGUAAUACGGAGGAUCCAAGCGUUAUCCGGAAUCAUUGGGUUUAAAGGGUCCGUAGGCGGUCAGGUAAGUCAGUGGUGAAAGCCCAUCGCUCAACGGUGGAACGGCCAUUGAUACUGUCUGACUUGAAUUAUUAGGAAGUAGCUAGAAUAUGUAGUGUAGCGGUGAAAUGCUUAGAGAUUACAUGGAAUACCAAUUGCGAAGGCAGGUUACUACUAAUUGACUGACGCUGAUGGACGAAAGCGUGGGUAGCGAACAGGAUUAGAUACCCUGGUAGUCCACGCCGUAAACGAUGGAUACUAGCUGUUGGGAGCAAUCUCAGUGGCUAAGCGAAAGUGAUAAGUAUCCCACCUGGGGAGUACGAACGCAAGUUUGAAACUCAAAGGAAUUGACGGGGGCCCGCACAGGCGGUGGAGCAUGUGGUUUAAUUCGAUGAUACGCGAGGAACCUUACCAAGGCUUAAAUGUAGUUUGACCGGUUGGAAACAG
rnacentral:rRNA from 1 species